GGGAAGGUGGCUCAGUGGUAGAGAGCUUGCCUUGUAUGCAUGAGGCCCUGGGUUCGAUUCCUGACCACCACA
rfam:Dipodomys ordii ctg_broad_rename0002382, whole genome shotgun sequence.